rnacentral:misc_RNA from 1 species
CUGUCGGCACGCACGCGAUGCUUCACCCCCUGCUGCUGCUGGAUCCGUGGGCAAUGUGGCGGAUGUUUGAGAGGCAUCUGGGGCCACACGGAUGCCCUACAUGUGGUCCAUUUCCGACAGCGACCCUGAGGGUCUGCGCAAGGUUCUCUACAUGCACGUUGGGCUAUAUUUCUGCGUACCCGGUCUUUGCUGCUGAUGUCGAGCUGCUUUUCAGCCACCGCUGCGCGUAGCAGCGUACACCUCGCAGAAUGCCGUGUGGAGCGUUUUUCUGUGUACCUUCGCACCUCCGCUUUCUGCCGCCCACUUCUUUAUCGGCGUGCGACCGCUGUCGCAACGCCUCACGGAACCACCGAGACACGGCCAUCUCAACUUCUCGGCAAAACGGAGAAGGCGGCCACUUUGCCGCCCAGCAGCCCCCUCCCUUCGCUCCGCUUAGCGGCUUCGAUUCAGAGGAUAGACCCUUGGCCAGACUCAGAAACAUGCACGUACUCACAGACGCCCCCCCAUUCUUAUGGGUACGCAGACACGCACCCGCAGAGAGCGAGACCGGGACGUACAUUCCAACCGCGGUGUGGUGAAGGGCGUGCCCCAGGGAGUGGAUGCUGACGGCCAACUCUUGCGCGCAUUUGCCACUCUCGACCCCCUUAUGUGCUCUCUCGGCCAGCGAGCAAGUGUGCGCGACUCCCUGGUGACAGAUUUGGACACGCACGGGCCCACCAUUGCCACAUUCCAUGGAUGCCCACUUCAUUCCAGUCCCUCUCACAAGCGAUACGAUCUCUGUCGAAGAGGAGCAAGAUCUAUGCGGCUGUGGUCUUGAUGGUGCGGAGGUGGUCCCUCUUCCGCUGAGUUGCGAUGGACUGAUGGCGGAAAAAAAAACUGUGCAUGGGGGCAUUCUCAUGCAUGGCCAAGCCUCGCGCUGCCUCACGUUUACGGGGCUUCAAAAGGAUCACACCGGCUACCGGUCGCAUCUCAUCGGCACCGAAAACCGGGGAAACGGCGGGCGUCCUGCGCACGUGGGGAUUCUGAUUACCGAUGAUGCAAUCAUUCAUGCUGCUGAGGGAGAAGGUGCCGGUGUCGGAGGAGUGCAUCCAUCGCCUCUGUGGGCCCCGCCCACAUCACGCGCCUCGAAGCGGCUGUCAGCUGAUUCAUGGACAGCCGCCCGCGCCCACGCCCGGGGGACGAAGCGGAUGCGGACAUGGGCCUCUGCUGAGCACUCAAACCUUGUCCAAAUUGUCAGAAUCAGCGCGUACACCGCAGGCUCGUACACGAUGCCGACCGUCGUCGCCUUCUCGGCGAUGUGCGGCGUCGCAUUCAACGGCCGCGACAUGACGCCACCAAAGAACCGCGACACUGCGCUGUCCUUGAAGAGGGUCUUUGACUGCCUCUUCACUGCGGCGUGGCUCUCGCACGGGCUCACUCUCUGCACCGCGAUCUCCCGGGACGAGCGGACGAUAGGCCCCGCUGCCUUGAUGUGUUUAUCCGUGAGCAGGAGCAUGAGAUGGGACAAAGAGAGCACGCACUCGCAGAACAGGAGGAGGACGGGGUGCCACGACGAGCACGCGAUGGGGGCACGGCCCCGCCGACCGUGUAGGCUCCUUUCCUUUUUGUUUUCUUGUCUGCUGGAGCUGCGGCUCCCCUUCAUUUGCAUGGCGCCUCUGCCAUCGCUGCUGUUCUCAGGGGCGAUCCCCACACCGUCAUGCAGCCAAUGCGGAGCCACAUCACUCCGUGACUCGCCGUCCAUACGUGAUUCUACACCCCGCUACAUAAAUUUCAGCGAAACUCUCGCAGAUGGGCCGAACCGUUAUCCUGCACGCCAAACGCGAAGGGGCACAGCGGGCGGCACGGGGAGCUGAGACCAGAGGCUGGAAGCGGAGGUGACUCCGUAUUCUUGUCAAUACGCAAGCAGCGUCAUAUACGCGUAGCCGAUGCUCUUGAAUGGUGCGCCCUCUGCGCCUGUCGGUAUGACCACGGCGUUUACGUCACGAUGGCACAUACACCGCCCCAGAAGUCGGAUCGACGGCGACGAACAACAUGCCGACUCGCUGAAUGCCCUCGGGUGCCACUCCCUCUCUCUCUCGUCUCUCUUCCCUUCGUAUCUCCCCUCCCCCGCUGGGGAAG